CCCAAAGGGAUUGAGAACUCCUAGUUCAAAGUAUAUUUUUCCUUAAAUCUCUUACCAAGUGUCUUACUGUGUCUUGAUGGAUAUGAUAAAACAUCCUAGUUAGCAAAUAAAAAGAAUGGUUCUUCUCCAGUUUCAUGAUUGUUUCAUGUAGGGCUUUCCUGAAUGUAUAUAGAAUUUCUUCUUUUAUAUCUCCAAUGAAUGUUGUGUUGAUUUAGGCUGGCGUGUCCAAACUAAAUGAAGCCAAAGCUCUUGUGGAUGAGCUGAACAGAAAGGCCGGAGAGCAGAGUAUCCUGCUUCGAAUAAAGCAGGAUGAAGCAGACUCUGCCCUUCAGGAGAUCACAGUGUCCAUGCAGGAUGCUAGUGAGCAAAAGACAGAACUUGAAAGACUGAAACAUCGGAUAGCAGAAGAAGUUGUUAAAAUUGAAGAGAGAAAAAGUAAAAUUGAUGAUGAAUUAAAAGAAGUACAACCUCUAGUCAAUGAAGCUAAGCUAGCAGUUGGAAACAUUAGGCCAGAAUCUCUUUCAGAAAUCCGUUCACUCCGCAUGCCACCAGAUGUAAUCCGAGAUAUUCUUGAAGGAGUUUUGAGGUUAAUGGGUAUCUUUGAUACAUCAUGGGUAAGCAUGAAAAGCUUCCUUGCAAAAAGGGGUGUGAGAGAAGACAUUGCAACUUUUGAUGCACGGAACAUCCCUAAAGAGAUACGAGAGAGUGUGGAGGAGCUUCUCUUCAAAAACAAAGCCUCUUUUGAUCCAAAGAAUGCUAAGCGUGCCAGCACUGCAGCUGCUCCUUUGGCUGCUUGGGUAAAGGCCAAUGUACAGUACUCCCAUGUCUUGGAACGGAUCCAGCCUCUGGAAACAGAGCAGUCAGGAUUAGAAUUGUAAGUCAAACACAAAGUACAGGAUGGUCUGACCUGCAUUGCAGUCAGUUUAAUACAUAUGCUGUAUUAUUUACACUGUAUGGUUUUGGCUUCUAUGUCAAAAAUCAAAUGUCUGUACGUAUGUGGCUUUAUUUCUGAGUCUUUGAAUGGAUGCCUUUGAUCUGCCUGUCUGUUUCUAUAAUAAUACCAUGCAGUUUUUGUUACUAUUGUUCUGUAGUAUAGCUUGAAGUCAAGGAGAAUGAUCUUUUAUUGUUCAGAAUUGUUUUAGCUAUCCUGGGAUUUUUGUUUUUCCAUAUGCAGUUGAGAAUUGAUCUUUCAUGAUCUGUAAAGAAUUGUGUUGGAAUUUUGAUGGGAAUUGCAUUGAAUCUGUAGAUUGCUUUUUUAAGAUGGCCAUUUUCACCAUGUUAAUCCUGCAUAUUGAUGAGCAUGAGUGAUCUUUCCAUCUUCUGAGAUCUUCCUCAAAUUUCUUCUUUAGCUCAUAUAGGUCUUUCACUUGCUUGGUUAGAGCUAAACCAACAUAUUUUCUAUUAUUUGUGGUUAUUGUGAAGGUUUCACUAACUUCUUUCUCAGCCUGUUUGUCACUGGUGUAGAGGAGGGCUGCUGAUUUCUUUGACUUAAUUUUGUAUCCGAACACUUUGCUCAAAGUGUUUAUCAGCUGUAGGAGUUCUCUGGUAGAAUUUUUGGGGUCACUUAUGUAUAUUAUUGUAUUACUUGCGAAUAGAGAUACUUUGACUUCUUCCUUUCAAAUUUAUGUCUCUUUGAUACCC
rnacentral:lncRNA from 14 species